rnacentral:lncRNA from 1 species
CAGGGUCUUACUCUGUAGCCCUGGCUGGACCGGAACUCAUAGACCAAGCUGGCCAAAACUUACCGAGAUCAUCCGUCUGUGGUUGAUGGUGUUCCAUGCCCGGCUUGGUCAGAGUGUUUUGUCACAGCAACGGACAAAAUGAAACGAGGUCAGGUGGGACAAAGAUGCCACUUUGCCUCCUUAUUUCUGGUCCCUGGGCCAGCAAGAGAAACAAUGUCUACAAUUGUGGCGGCGUCACUGCCUGAUGUCCUGACUCACACCUGAAAUCCCAGCCUUCGGAAGACGGAGGCAGGAGGAUUAGGGAGACGAGUUUUACUUUAAGAGGUUUAAAAUGUUUUCAUGUGUAUUUUGUCUGUGUUGAGCAUGUGCGAUGUAUGUGUGGACAGGCAAUUGUGAGCUACCUCACAUGGAUGCUGGGAGACAAAUGCCACUUUGUUGCAAGAGGAGCAAGCGCUUUUAACUGCUGAGGCCUCUCUCCACCCACAAACCAUCGUUUUUAUUAUUGUUUUUAUUUCAUAUGUGUGUGUGCUCUGCCUGCACAUAUGUCCAAGCAGCACAUGCACGUCUGCUGCCCAUGUAGGCUAAAAGAGGCCAUCGGAUUUCCUGGAACUGGAGUUACAGACCGUGGCUGUGAGCUUCCAUGUGGACGCUGCGACACAAAUUUGGGUCCUCAGGAAGAGCAUCCAGUGCUCUUAACCACUCAGCCAUCUCUCCAGCCCUGGGAUCAGAAAGCAAUAUUAUUCUUGGCUCCAUAUUCAGUUUGAGGCCAGCUUGUCCUACAUGAGAUCCACUUUAGAACAAAAAUCAAAUAACACAAAGACAACGUUAAGAAAAAAAAUCAUGGGGUUGUGGAUUUAGCUCAGCGGUAGAGCGCUUGCCUAGCAAACGCAAGGCCCUGGGUU